CCUACGGGUGGCAGCAGUAGGGAAUAUUGCUCAAUGGGGGAAACCCUGAUGCAGCAACGCCGCGUGGAGGAUGAAGGUUUUCGGAUUGUAAACUCCUUUUGUUAGAGAAGAUAAUGACGGUAUCUAACGAAUAAGCACCGGCUAACUCCGUGCCAGCAGCCGCGGUAAUACGGAGGGUGCAAGCGUUACGCGGAAUUACUGGGCGUAAAGAGCGCGUAGGCGGGAUAGCAAGUCAGAAGUGAAAUGCUAGGGCUUAACCCUAGAACUGCAUUUGAAACUGUUCUUCUAGAGUAUAGGAGAGGUAAGUGGAAGUCUUAGUGUAGGGGUAAAAUGCGUAGAGAUCAAGAGGAAUACUCGUGGCGAAGGCGACCUGCUAGAACAUAACUGACGCUGAUGCGCGAAAGCGUGGGGAGCAAACAGGAUUAGAUACCCCUGUAGUC
rnacentral:rRNA from 1 species